GGCGGCGCUCCUCAAGGUGGCAUUCCUCAAGGCGGCUCUCCUGCAACCUCCGGCUCUGGUGGCCAAGUCACUUAUCCUGCAACAGGUGGUGUUACAGGUCCAGCUCAAGGAGGCAGUCAAACAGCUGGCACCAGUAGUUACUGGUAUUUUGCCGCUCCUGCAACCCCAAACUCUGGUGGCCAAGGUACUUAUCCUACAACAGGUGAUGGUCAAUCUCAAGUAAAAGGUCCAACAGCUGACAUUGGUGGUUACUGGUAUUUUGCCGCUCCUGAAUCCUCAAACUCUGGUGGCCAAGGCACAUAUCCUACAACAGGUGGUGGUCAACCAGGCAGUAACACAGCUGUCACUGGCAGGUUUGGACUGGUUCCUCAAGGCGGAACUCCUCAAGGUGGAACUCCUCAAGGCGGAACUCCUCAAGGCGGCGUUCCUCAAGGCGGCUUUCCUCAAGGUGGAACUCCUCAAGGCGGCGUUCCUCA